rnacentral:rRNA from 1 species
UGCCGCGUGCAUGAUGACGGUCCUAUGGAUUGUAAACUGCUUUUUUACGGAAAAAAACAUGGCUUCUUGUAACGUCUUGACCGUGCCGUGACAAUAACGAUCGGCUAACUCCGUGCCAGCACCCGCGGUAAUACUGAGGAUCCAAGCGUUAUCCGGAAUCAUUGGGUUUAAAGGGUCCGUACGCGGUUUAGUAUUUCAGUGGUGAAAGCCCAUCGCUCAACGGUGGAACGGCCAUUGAUACUGAUACACUUGAAUUAUUAUGAAGUAACUAAAAUAGGUAUUGUAGCGGUGAAAUGCUUAGAGAUUACAUGGAAUACCAAUUGCGAAGGCAAGUUACAACUAAUGGAUUGACGCUGAUGGACGAAAGCGUGGGUAGCGAACAGGAUUAGAUACCCUGGUAGUCCACGCCGUAAACGAUGGAUACUAGCUGUUGGGAGCGAUCUCAGUGGCUAAGCGAAAGUGAUAAGUAUCCCACCUGGGGACUACGUUCGCAAGAAUGAAACUCAAAGGAAUUGACGGGGGCCCGCACAAGCGGUGGAGCAUGUGGUUUAAUUCGAUGAUACGCGAGGAACCUUACCAAGGCUUAAAUGUAGUAUUGACCGCUUUGGAAACA